UUCAAAAAUGACGGGUGAGCGACGGUGGGCUCUGGUGUCGAAUUUGACACUUUCGGGAACGCGGAUCGGAACGAUUAUCCGACGAUAAUCGUUUCGAUGUGAGAUGGUGUGUUUGCUGCUAAGUCACACGAAUAAUUAUGUUUAGUGGCAGCGGGUGACUCAUGUACAAGUCGGUGAGUUCUGGGACAGUUCGUUGGUCUCGGCGGAGUCCCGGUGCGAUUUUCGGGACUUCCGGCGUAUUACGGCAAUCGGUUUGGGAAACCGAUUCUCGUGGGUUUAUUUGUAGGGAUUGUGAGUUAGCGAUUCGUGUUUGUGGGUUAGAUGCUA
rnacentral:lncRNA from 1 species